UCCUCUUCUGACCAAAGAAUACAUUCCACCGUUGAUCUGGGGGAAAAGUGGACACAUCCAGACAGCCUUGUAUGGGAAGAUGGGAAGGGUGAGGUCGCCACAUCCUUAUGGGCACCGGAAGUUCAUCACUAUGUCUGAUGGAGCCACUUCUACAUUCGACCUCUUCGAGCCCUUAGCUGAGCACUGUGUUGGAGAUGAUAUCACCAUGGUCAUCUGCCCUGGAAUUGCCAAUCACAGCGAGAAGCAAUACAUCCGCACUUUCGUUGACUACGCCCAGAAAAAUGGCUAUCGGUGCGCCGUGCUGAACCACCUGGGUGCCCUGCCCAACAUUGAAUUGACCUCGCCACGCAUGUUCACCUAUGGCUGCACGUGGGAAUUUGGAGCCAUGGUGAACUACAUCAAGAAGACAUAUCCCCUGACCCAGCUGGUCGUCGUGGGCUUCAGCCUGGGUGGUAACAUCGUGUGCAAAUACUUGGGGGAGACUCAGGCAAACCAAGAGAAGGUCCUGUGCUGUGUCAGCGUGUGCCAGGGGUACAGUGCACUGAGUUUGCUGUUGUUGGUAUUGAAGACAUCAGUCCUUUUCAAAAA
rnacentral:sRNA from 1 species